UCUCGUGCAAGCACUGUAUUGCCAUCCACAGAGCAAUAGGCGAUUCCUGUUUUAAUGAUCCUUUCGAAACUAGUUAUAACAUUGUACGCAUCACCAUGGAAAUUGCCACCCAUCAUUUGGCGCAUUGCGCCGAAAAACAUCUCGGUGGAGUCGCUUGAAAAUUUCCGGAUUGCCUUUGGAUGACCUCACACAUCUUCUUUGGUGUGAAGCUACUCCGGUUUUUUCCGCCAUUCUGCUGUUUACAGUUUUUCACCAUUUUAGAUGGGCGCGGUAGUAUUGAAAUUGGUGUGAGUAACUCACAGGAUUCCUCAAAAAUCCGUCUCACCAGCGCAGUUAUUAUUUGUAACCAGUGUGGUAACAUCAUUUAAAUCACAAAAAUCCAUGGCGAUUUCCGACUGAGUGAUGUCUUCUUCAGUAUUGGCAGCUGCUUGUUUCAUGGACAAAUUUUAAAGACAGGUUAUGUAAUUUAUUCAGUUUACCCAUAUAAAUUUUUAUUCUUGCCUAGGCAACCUAUUUUUGGUGGAGUGUCCACCACUUCCAUAAUGCAACAUUCCGCCUUUCGUUUUCUACUCGGUUUUCUACUUGUCGCUGAUGCGCCAACAACAUCUGAGAUAGGAGGAAAUUUUGUCGGUACCGCAGAAUGCUUCAAUCUUCUUUUAUUAGGUUCAUAGCACGUUUCUUCAAAAUGAGCUUGGCAUAUAUAAGUAUCCUUAUCGUAGCUUCUGCCAGUUUUCUG